UUCUUUUUCUCCAAGACUCUGCUCUUUCUGUGAUUCUUGGUCUCUUCUCUUGAUGUUUUCUUUGCUCUAAUUCUGCUUUAUAACAGGAAAUUUCGUAUAGAUGUUGAGCUUUAGGUUACUUGUCGUCUUCUUUCUUUCUUACUUUUUCCCACUACGCAUGUUAUUCCUAUAUGCAGAUAUUCUUAAUUGAAUCUUUAUCCCUGGUGGGUGCGUGAGCUUGUUUGUUUGGUUGCCUUUAUAUUUUUCCACUGCUUUAUUUCCUAUCAAUCAUUGAGGGUUCAGUCCUUUGUGCAUGUAUAUGUUAUGUCCCUAUCUUUAUGUGAUUAAUUUUUUUGUUUGGAUGCUAAUGAGUCUAAAUUUUGGAUGAACUCGAAUCUUUCUGUGUUACCGCUCUCUUUUGUGUUUAAGGAGAACUUUUAAGGUUGUUUUAACAAUUGCUUCAUUGACAGAUUCUUCAAAGCUUUGAGGAUAUUCUGCGGAGGAACCAGUUUUUUUUAGAGGACAAGGGCAAGCUCAAGACUGCUCUUGCCCGCUUGGAGCUAUGCUUGUCGCUUUUGCCAUGUAACUAGAGAGAUGGGCUCAUGUGAAAUGAAUGGCGCUGGACGAGGGAUACUUCAUGUUUUUGAGCCUGAUGUACCUGCAAUAUCUGCUGGAUGUUCGAUCAUCAUCCCGAAACUAAAAGACCUUGUCCCAGUUCUAGUCAAUUGUUUCCAAGAUUUUAUUCCGGAAGUUCAGACUGGCUCACUUAUUACCACACAAUCAUUUGAUUGUAUGCUGUCCAUACUUAACAGCAUAAAACUUGCAGUCAAAUUCAUUUUUUAUAUGACUGAUGAGGGUAAACUAGAAUCAAAACCUUCACAAGGGGCGCUUGAUGUGACUCUGUGGGGAGAUACUAUCUCUAUGACACUAGUGAAGAAGUUUUUGCAAGUUUUGUUUCCACCGAACAUGAUAAAUCAACUUUCAGAAAAGGUCCUGAUCUGGAACAAUGUGUAUUAUUUCGAAUCAUACAGGUCCUGAAUUCAGCUUAUAAAUCUUGGCGUAUCCAGAUUGUUGAUCACAUUAGUUUCUUGAUCACUUUGCUCUCCCAUUUCAUAGUUUUCCCAGUCAUUAGAGGAAAUCAGCAUGACGAUUGCAGAAGGGCACAAGGUGCAAUGUGCACUUGGUAGACUGCAGAAUGUAAUAACUACUCUGCAGGGUGAGAUUCAGUCAGUCUAGAAGGGCGUUGUUAACCCAAGUAAGCUGUCUUGUGAGUCUUCUACGUCACAACCAUCUGUAAUUUCAUGUGCUUGCUUCAUUCAUUUAUCUGUAGGACUCCGAUAAUUCACAUAGCGUUUUAACCACUCCCUCCCGAAUAGAUAAACAAAGAGAAAUGAUCAAUAGUAUUACUAUUCAGAAGUUGAUGUCUCCGGUGUACACUUAAUCUAGUGGGAGGAGGGAGACGAAAGUAUAUGCCCCCGGAAUGUGCUUUAGACCUUGUAGCUUUAGAAUCACAGGAAGACAUUUGGAAUUUCAGCGAUUAGCGAAUGACCAAUUUUAAGAUAAAGGAAUGUGCUUCAGGCCUUGUAGCUUUAUUUACAUUCACACUUGAAGACAUUUGGAAUUUUAACGACUAUUUUUGAUAGACAGUUUAGCAACUUGUCUUCCAGACAGCUUUAAACACCCGCUACAUUUGAUUCUCCGAUGUUGCAGAACUAUGUAACUGUGGCGAAAGUGCAAGGAAUUUGAAGAGAAAAGACGGUCCAGAACCUGACCAUUGCUAGAGUACGGCUUCUGGAUCUUUGUUGGUCAUCGAUCCUUGACUUUGUUCAGCUUAGGUAUUCGAAGGCCCGGACUGAAUGCACGCCUCCCAUGGCCGUCGUGUCUGACUAAAAUGUAGCAAGGGUUCAUUCAAAAGGGGCAGAAGCCCCAAAUAAAUUUGCGAAGGCUACAUAAAUUAGGCGGGAAAAUUAACUCGAGCCCCCUAUUUCUGCGCGCCAAAAGCAAAGGAAAUGACGAUGGAAGGGCAAUGAACUCAGAUCGAAUUCAAAUCAAAUACGAAGCAUUCAUGAAAUGCAAUCAAAGAUCAGUGCCUUCUUCAAACCAUCCUCCUCCUAUUCUUCUUCUUCUUCUUCUUCUUCACCCAAACCAGCAGCCCCACCUCCGAUUGUUACCGGCGGAAACGACGACGAAUUGACCGUCUGGGAAAAGACGCAGCACCAAUACUGCAACACCUAUAAGCGAAGAGCUCCAAACCCGCAAAGUUUUUCAUUUUUUGAGUUGUUUUGUUUCUGGGUUCGCUUCAGUUAAGAGAAUUAGGAAAUGGAGUUAAGAGAAUUGGGAAAAGGGUUUAGUGUGAAUUUAAACUGGGAUUUCCCUUGCAGAAAAUCUUAGACUUUAUUUAUUUAUUUAUAUGAAUAUUUGUA